rnacentral:rRNA from 1 species
AACGAACGCUGGCGGCAUGCCUAACACAUGCAAGUCGAACGAGACCUUCGUGUCUAGUGGCGCACGGGUGCGUAACGCGUUGGAACCUGCCCUUAGGUUCGGAAUAACUCCCCGAAAGGGGUGCUAAUACCGGAUAAUGUCUUCGGUCCAAAGAUUUAUCGCCUUUGGAUGGGCCCGCGUUGGAUUAGCUAGUUGGUAGGGUAAAAGCCUACCAAGGCGACGAUCCAUAGCUGGUCUGAGAGGAUGAUCAGCCACACUGGGACUGAGACACGGCCCAGACUCCUACGGGAGGCAGCAGUGGGGAAUAUUGGACAGUGGGCGAAAGCAUGAUCCAGCAAUGCCGCGUGAGUGAUGAAGGCCUUAGGGUUGUAAAGCUCUUUUACACGGGAUGAUAAUGACAGUACCGGGAGAAUAAGCUCCGGCUAACUCCGUG